CCUUUACAUUUACAAGUCCACGGGGGCAUGCUUUCCGAAAGGACAGCUGGUGGAUGUCUGGUUCCACUGGCUGGGGCGCGAAAGAUAUUAGUUCCACGUUUAGGUACCUGCUACUAAUAGGCUAGUAACGCUGAUCGAGCUGCUUCCUGAACCUCACCCUUGCUUUUUGCGCACCUAUUGUUUCCUCGGCAGGCUUGCCUGCCAGGAGGACCCCAUUCAACCCUUUGCAAUUGCAGUCAGCGUCAGAAACAACGUAAUUGUUA
rnacentral:misc_RNA from 1 species